rnacentral:miRNA from 1 species
UACACGGUCUAAAGGCACAUUGUU